rnacentral:lncRNA from 1 species
AAAAACUUUUUCCAUUUUCUCAACAUAAAAAAUAAUACUUUAUAAUAUAAAUAUAUUAAGUUUAUAUUUGAAAUGACAUUUUAUUAAUAAUUUUAGAAUAUUUAUUAUGAACAAAUAUUAGUAAUAAUAAUUUAAAUUGUGUAUUUUUAUUCCUAAUUAAAAGAAAAUAACUAUAAAUAAUUAAAACUAAUAAAGUAGUCAUAAAAGUAAUAAUAAAUACAAUUUAAUGGGAGCUCUACAUGUCGCUUCUCAAUUCUUAGAAUAUGCCACAUAUUAUCUCCUAAGGAAAAAUGGAUUGCUAGAUAUAGAUAGAUUAGUAUAGUCCAACCAUAGUUUAGCCUCAGUCAAUUUUUAACUCUUUAACACUUGGCUUUCACUAGUCCAAUGACUAGGCCCACUGUAAAAACCUUGCUAGAAUACAUAUGUUGUUAACCUAAAGGCAAGCUUCAUAUGAUCUAUCCAUCUUUCUCAGUUAAUAUGUAUGUUUUACAAAAUAGAUUUAUUCUAGGGUCUAGUUGAAUUCAUGAGUCCAUGAAUGUAGUGCAUAGUAGCAGUAUCAAGUUUUGGAUGUCAUGAAGUAAUCUUUUUGUUUUCUUUGCUUUCUGCUCCAUUCUACAUAUAACUUGUGCUGAUAAGCAAUAUGGAAAAGUGAAAUGUUGUGGCCCUUUCUCUCUCUGUCUCUCUCUCCCUUUCGUCUUCUCUUUGGAGGAGAAAAGGGGCAGGGAGUUGAAUUCGUAAUGUUGGUUUGUAUUCUUAUGGUUUUCUUGAACUUUUUACAGGCGCAAGGACAGCAUAUGAUUGUUCCAUCCAUGCAAGGCAAUGAGUAGAGAGUUCUAGUUUCAUAUUACCAAUCUAAUGAAAUUUAGGGCCAGUAAAACUGUUUAAUGUCCAACUUCUAUAGCAUCUUUGAUAUUGGUUUAUCAGAUAUGAACCAAAGUGCAUUAUAUUCUUGGGGCUUUGGUUUUGGUUGUUGGGGUUUGGAUUUUGUGGGUUCUCUCUCUGGCAGAACAGCUUUAAUAGUCACAUAAAUGCUGUAAAUUGUUUUUUUUUUUUUAACAUUCUCCUGACUAUUUGAAGAGACUGAUCUCAUAAAUCUCUAUAUUGUAUCUUUGUCAAUUCUCAUCUUUUGUGUGUAUUGUUCAUCAUGUUGCUCUGCAAUGAACUCUUCUGUAGCAGCCAUAUUGAAGGCAUGUAACUCUCCCUGCCUCUCUGCUGUGGGGAGACUCUCUGUAAGUGGACUGCCGUUCAAAUUUCUGUUGGAAACGCCAGUGACCAUCAGUUUUUUUUUUUUUUUUUGUGAAAUACUAUAUUUUCCAUAUUCUCCAUUAAGCUUUUGUGUUGAUUAUUGUUAAAUUUGGGUCUAGUUUAACUCAAGAGUUCAGGAGGAUUGUCCAAUAGUCUUAUAAGGGUACAUUACCUCUAUUACCUCUAUCUCAAACAAAUAUGGGUUUAAUACACCCCUUGCAUAAAUUGGAAUGUGAAAUACUUGUAGGAUGACCAAUAUUGAAUGGGAAGGUCUGAUAUGUUUAGACAGGUCAAGAGGAAAGAGUAUUCAAUACUUUUAUAUGGGACAUAUCAUCUAUGGGAUUUAAGAAUUAUAUAGCAAAGGUGAAAUGCAGUGCUUCUUGUUGGCUGGCCUGGACUUUAGGUUCUGCUGAAGUACUAGAAUGAGAGAUGAAUUUCACUCUCAUAAUUGGUUACCCCCCACCGCACCCAUCCAUUCCAACAAGUGCUGCAGAAGCUUGCUUGGCUGAUGAUAUGGGUUUGAUAGAACCUUGUCUAUUUUUGCACUAAUUUUACCUCUAAAUUGUCUAUACGAUUGAUUUGAGAAGCCUUGUUGAUAAUAAGCGCAGCAGCAUUCUUAUGUCUCCUAACCAUGAGGUUGUCUGAAGGUUGACUUGAGAGGGCAUAAUUUGGUUUUCAAAAGCUAUUUUAUUUCAGAUUUUAUGUGGGAGAAAUUUAUUAUUUAAUCUCUAUAUUAUAAAAAAAUUUAUUAGUUGGUUUUUCUAUUUUUUUAUAAUUUUUAUUUAUUUAUUUAUUAUUUUAAAAUCAUUGUGCAUUUUUUUUAUACAGCUAACAUAUCAAUUCACUAUUAUAAUUAUUUCUAUUAAUUAUUAUUUUUUAAAUAAUUAUUUAAAAUAUCUCUUAAUAUUUAAUAAAAUUUAAUGAUUUGGUAUAAUUGAAAAGCUAACAAUUUUUUUUUUCUUGAAAAAUAAAAAGGAUAAAAUUUAUAGGAAUGAUGGAGUAUAUUAAAACGGCCUGAGAUAAGUAUUAGUAUUUUAUUAUUUAAUUAUUAUGUUUUGAAAAAAUUCAAUGAUUGAUUUCAAUUGCGUACAAAAUUUAUUAACUGUUCUUUUUAUAUUGAGGUCAUUUUAUUUUUUUUAAUAUUGAACAAAUAAAAUUAAUAAAACAACUAUACUUUUUAAAAUAUCAACAAUAUUUUAAUAUAUUUUUUUAAAAAAUUUAAUUAGAAUUUAUCAAUUGAUUCAAUAUUGCUGGUAUUCAAGAACAUAACAUUAAAAUGAGUUUUGAAGUCAGAUACUAAGGAACCAAAUCAAGUUAAAUCCGGAAGGACACGAUAUGAAUGAAUUAGAACUUGAGAAUAUGCUUCAAUAAAGUAAAAGCUUGUGAUUUAAUCCAACUCAAAGACUCUUGAGUAAAUAAUGCCUUCGCCAAAUGUCUAUUUGAUAAUAUAUAAAAUAUAAAUCCUUUGAAAUCAGGAAAAUUGUAUUAAGUCUUUGGGAUACUAUUUAAGAAAUCUUAUUAAUUUUAAUCGUGUUCUUUAUCGUCCGAUCAAUCGAUUUCAAUCUGACAUCAAUACUUUGGACUUUAGAAUAAUUGUUGAACGAAUGUUCGACUUUUAAUUCUUAGCAUUUGUACGAGAUUUUAAAUGUGUGUGAUAUGACAGUUCUGAUACAACAUAUGUAUCAAAGGAGGCAUGGUUUAAACCGGUUAAAUGUUAAUGAAUCAAUUACUCGCCAUUAAUGAGCUACUUAAAAAACCUACUAAAAAUGUAAUUAUUUUUUAAAAAACAGACACAUAACAAAUGUAUUCUGUAUAACCACACGCAUGUAUAUUUCUGCGGAAUAAAACAUGGACUAUUUUCUUUUAACUUUUAAAAUAUUUUUUGGAAUUUCAACAUCAUCAACGGUCAAAACGACAUGGUUAAUUGAUUAUCUGCGAAAGCCAACAUAAAACAUAAUUUGAGAGAAUUAGAAGAUGGAAGCUGCCAUUGGAAGGCAUAAUGAGAAGGUUGUUGCAGUCUGGGCCUUACUCCAAGCUGGUGACCAAUACAUCAUUUAGAUAAAGAAGAUGCUGCAAAAUUAUAAUUUCUUUAGCCGUCAUGCAUUUGAUGGAAUCACUAUUACCAUGACUGCAAUACAUAUCUUGUAUAACUUGGAUUUGGAUAAACAGCUGCAGCUGGAAAUAAUGAACUGGGAUAGUAAUUCGACUUUAAAGUUUUAUUACGAAAAAUUUAGUAUAUAGUGUAGGUAUUAUGGAAAAACACAUUAAUUGCUUUUAUAAUUUUAAAAAAUAUAUUAAAAUAUUUUAAAUUUUACAAAAUAUAAUAAUUAGUCAUUUUUUAGUUUUAAUUAUUAAGUAUUUUACUAUUAAUUUCUUAAUAUUAAAAAAAUUAUUAAUUAAUCUUUUAAUUUUAUAAAAGUGUUUAUUAUAUAGUUCCUUUAUAUUAAGAUUAUUUUUUAUUUUUUUAUAAUAUUUAAUAGUUAAAAUUAAUAGAUGAUUAAUUACUAAAUUUUUAUAUAUUAUUCAAAAUUGAUGAGUUAGCUAAUGAAUCCAAAUAUUUACAAAAUAUUGAUUUUUGUGUUUUAAAAAUUAAAAAUAUUUACUAAUGAUAAUAAAUAAAAAAAUAAUGAAUAAAACUAUAAGUUCGUUUGAUCUUUAAAAAUUAAAAUAACUAUCUCUUAAUUUUUAUUAUUAAAAUAAUAAAUAAAAUAAUUUUUUAUUAAAAAACCCACUUAGUGGAAUAUUUUAAAAGGGUAUUUUAGCCAUUUAGAGACAUUUAAUAAAAAAAUAUUGAAAAAAUUAUUUUGUUAGAUGGAAAUUAAAAUUAAAAUUAAAAUUUAUUUAUUAUUAAAAAUUUAAUAAGAGAAGUGGAUUUUAUUAAACUUCAAUAAUGUCUCAUAAUUUUUUUUUUAAAAAAAAGUGUUUUUUCCCUUAAUUGCAAAGCCCAUUUUCUUCAUAGAAAGGUUUUACUGCCUUGAGGGUCAUGGGCUUGCGGCUAUUGUCUUGUUGGUCCAGUGCCACUCAGUUGACAGUGUUUUAGAAAAUAUUUAGGAAAAAUUACUUUUUAGUUCAUUAGAUUUAACAUAAUUAACACUUCUGUCUCUCUAUUUUGGUGACUCAACACUUAAGUCCCUCACUUUCUCUUCCGUCCAAAUUCUUAGUCCUUCCGUCUAAAAUAGCCGUUUGGUUAGAGAGUCAAAGGUGAGAGGUGAGAAUAUUUUCCAAAAAUGCCCUUAAUGAACUUGUUAAACCCCUCAAUGUGAAACCCUCCAUCUUUUCCUCUUUCGUAACUUCUCUAUCUCUUUUUUUUUUUGCUCUCUCUCUUUUUCCUCUUUCUUCUCCCUCAUAUCUUCUCUAUUUUCUUUUGGCAUUAUUGAUUUUCCUUCUUUUUUUUUUUUUUCUCUUUUCCAUCUUUCUUC